GGGGACUGGGUGAGAGGACUGGUACUUCCCACCUUUUAUUACAGCUUCAAUUUCUUAGGAGCAUGGAUUACUUUUACUUACAAUCAUAAUUUAAAAAUAAAAAGUUGUCAGUUCAAGACCGGGCCGGGUUUCUCAGUAGUUAGAGCAUCGGCCCACACACCAAAAGGUCUGGGAUUCAAUUCCCAGUUAAGGGCACGUACCUCAGUCGCAGUCUCUCUCACAUCAAUGUCCCCUCACCUCCCCUUCCCUUCCAUUCUAUCUAAAAGCAAUGGGAAAAUAUCCUCAGGUGAGGAUUAAAAAAACAACAACAGUGUCAGUUCAAUUCAAAAGCAUAUAAAACAAACAAA